GAGCCGGUAGCUCAGUUGGCAGAGCAAGUGACUUUUAAUCACUGGGUCGGAGGUUCGAGUCCUCCCCGGCUCA
rnacentral:tRNA from 1 species